rnacentral:rRNA from 1 species
UACGGGAGGCAGCAGUGGGGAAUAUUGCACAAUGGGCGCAAGCCUGAUGCAGCCAUGCCGCGUGUAUGAAGAAGGCCUUCGGGUUGUAAAGUACUUUCAGUCGUGAGGAAGGUGUUAAGGUUAAUAACCUUAGCAAUUGACGUUAGCGACAGAAGAAGCACCGGCUAACUCCGUGCCAGCAGCCGCGGUAAUACGGAGGGUGCGAGCGUUAAUCGGAAUUACUGGGCGUAAAGGGCACGCAGGCGGUUAAUUAAGUUGGAUGUGAAAUCCCCGGGCUUAACCUGGGAAUGGCAUUCAAGACUGGUUAGCUAGAGUCUUGUAAAGGGGGUAGAAUUCCAUGUGUAGCGGUGAAAUGCGUAGAGAUGUGGAGGAAUACCGGUGGCGAAGGCGGCCCCUGGACAAAGACUGACGCUCAUGUGCGAAAGCGUGGGGAGCAAACAGGGAUUAGAUACC